AGAAAAUGCACCCACACAAUUUAGCUCAAUUCUCACAAUCAGCUAAGCCAAAGUCCGUUAACAUGGCUAAUAAGUCCCUUUCUCACAAGCUUGUUUUCUUUUUUGGUCUUCUUCUUGUUUCACUGGCCGUGGAUUCAUUUUGGUCCUCAAAUACUCAAGCAAUGGCUAUGAGAGACUUACCAUUAGAAGCACAAGUGAUUAAGCAGGUUGUCCUCCCAGAUCUUCUAAAAUAUUAUAAAGGAUGUGACAAACCUUGCAAUUCUCAUGCAGAUUGCAAUUACAAAGGUGGACCGUGUACACAAUGUCGGCUCAAAUAUGGCAAGCGAUCCAAGUUGACCACAUGCCAAAUUUGGAAAAAUUGACCGAUCCAUUUGAAUGUCGUAUGAAAAAAGUAGUGUUUUCUAUGAUCUUCUGUAUUUCCUUUCUUUUUUGGUUUCUCAUUGAAUAAAGAAGUAGUUCUUAGUUA